AGAGUUUGAUCAUGGCUCAGGGUGAACGCUGGCGGCGUGCCUAAUGCAUGCAAGUUGAGCGAUCCAUUUCGGUGGAGAGCAGCGAACGGCUGAGGAACGCGUAGGUGACCUGCCCUUUAGUGGGGGACAACACUGGGAAACCGGUGCUGAUACCGCAUAAGUUCUUCUGGCUGCGGCCAGAAGAGGAAAGUCGCAAGACGCUGAAGGAGGGGCCUGCGUCCCAUCAGGUAGUUGGGGGGGUAACGGCCCACCAAGCCGACGACGGGUAGCUGGUCUGAGAGGACGAUCAGCCAGAGGGGGACUGAGACACGGCCCCCACUCCUACGGGAGGCAGCAGCAGGGGAUCUUGGGCAAUGGGCGAAAGCCUGACCCAGCGACGCCGCGUGGGGGAUGAAGGCCUUCGGGUCGUAAACUCCUUUUCCAGGGGACGAUAAUGACGGUACCUUGGGAAGAAGCCCCGGCUAACUACGUGCCAGCAGCCGCGGUAAAACGUAGGGGGCGAGCGUUACCCGGAAUUAUUGGGCGUAAAGGGCAUGUAGGCGGUUUGGUCCGUCGUUGGUGAAAGGCCUCAGCUUAACUGGGGAGCCGCUAACGAUACCACCAGACUAGAGGGCAGCAGAGGUGAGUGGAAUUCCCGGCGUAGCGUUGAAAUGCGUAGAGUUCGGGAGGAACACCAGUGGCGAAGGCGACUCACUGGGCUGUCCCUGACGCUAAGGUGCGAAAGCGUGGGGAGCAAACAGGAUUAGAUACCCUGGUAGUCCACGCCCUAAACGAUGGAUACUAGGUAUGGGGGGUAUCGACCCCCU
rnacentral:rRNA from 1 species